UACGAAGGGGGCUAGCGUUGUUCGGAUUUACUGGGCGUAAAGCGCACGUAGGCGGAUCGUUAAGUCGGGGGUGAAAUCCUGGAGCUCAACUCCAGAACUGCCUUUGAUACUGAAGAUCUUGAGUUCGGAAGAGGUGAGUGGAACUGCGAGUGUAGAGGUGAAAUUCGUAGAUAUUCGCAAGAACACCAGUGGCGAAGGCGGCUCACUGGCCCGAUACUGACGCUGAGGCACGAAAGCGUGGGGAGCAAACAGG
rnacentral:rRNA from 1 species